rnacentral:rRNA from 1 species
UACGAAGGGGGCUAGCGUUGCUCGGAAUCACUGGGCGUAAAGGGUGCGUAGGCGGGUCUUUAAGUCAGGGGUGAAAUCCUGGAGCUCAACUCCAGAACUGCCUUUGAUACUGAGGAUCUUGAGUUCGGGAGAGGUGAGUGGAACUGCGAGUGUAGAGGUGAAAUUCGUAGAUAUUCGCAAGAACACCAGUGGCGAAGGCGGCUCACUGGCCCGAUACUGACGCUGAGGCACGAAGGCGUGGGGAGCAAACAGG